UUCCCUGCUUGCUCCGUUUUCCCCCUCCUCCUUCUCCUGCCGCCGCUAGGUAAGGCACCCAAGCAACAUGCCGACGCCAUGUUCGAGAGGAGCUCGAGCUCUUCUCCAGCGUGAUCGAGCCCACAGCCACCCUCUUCUUCCUCGGCAGCGACACGAGCAUCUUCAUCGUCUUCCUCACCCUUGCCGCAACCACAAGGACUCCGAGGCUUCCUCCUCGACGUCCUCUUCAUCGCCACGUUCGCUCGUCGUUGCCAUGGCCGAGCUGAGCUUGAGCUCGAGCUUCCGCCCGUCUCCGUCCGGCUUAUUCCGCUAGGAGCACCAGCGCGUCGACCGCCGUCUUCCUCGCCUGCGCACGCGUCCACACGGUCUCCGGAGCUCCUUCCACGACGUCCUCAUCGUCCUCUUCUUCGGGCCAAACCAUCGCCGCCGGCCAGCUAGUCCCCACGCCGGCUCCUCUGCUUCCCCGACGAGUCCGCCGACUUCAGCAGCACCCCCAUGUUCCUAUUUCGUUGCGAUUGUGAGGAUUCGUUCGACUACGCUUGGUUCGUCUACGCCCGUUCGUCUUCGUCAUGGACUCGUUCUUCUUCCGAGCGGGAUCUCAGGCAAGACGACCGCCACCUUGGAUCUCACUACUAUCUUUGCUAUGCUAGUUGUCUUGAUGCUAUCGCUAUGUUGCGCUACCUACCACUUGUUUAUCAAGCCUCCCAAAUUGCCAUGAAACAACAUGUAACCUUUUUCACCAUCCCAGCAAACCAUUGUUUGGCUAUGUUACCGCUUUGCUCAGCUCCUCUUAUAACGUUGCUAGUUGCAGGUUGUUCCAUAUUGAAACAUGGAUUUCUUGGGAUAUCAUAAUAUCUCGUGUUUUGUUCGACUUUUUACCUGGUGUUUUGUUCCACUCUUGUCACCCUAGUUUCCGUCAUAUCGGUGUUAUGUUCCUUGAUUUUGCGUCCCUAACAUGGUGGGGGUUAUGAAGCCCCCUUGACAGUUCGCUUUAAAUAAAACUCUAUCAGCAAGGCCCAACAUUGGUUUUACCAUUUGCCUAAUAACAACUAAAACUUGCAUAGGGACUUUCCGGACCCCGAGGACUUAAUUUACAACCCCAUGCCAGUGCUUCUCAUGAGUGUUGGUCCAAACUAGAGCACUAUGCGGGUCCGCCCCAGGGCAACCUGUGUUAUUUUUGGCACCUGUAUGCAUCACUCAUCCGUCGUGGCCUGAGACGAGAUACGCGCGGCUACUAUUACGGUGUCGGCACGUCGGGAGGUCUUGCUAGUUUUGUUUUACCAUUGUCGAAAUGUCUUGUGCACCAGGAUCCCGAGUCUGAUCGGAUGUCCCGCGAUGGAGAAUUGUCUCCGCGGAUCGUGAGCUUGUCAUGGGCUAAGUUGGGACAACCCCAUAUCCGGUUGUAGAGAACUUGACACCAGAUUCGAAUUAAAAUAGACCAACCGCGUGCGUAAUCGUGGCGGUCACUUUUCGACGAGGUUCGGGAAGAGAACACGAUGUGGUUAUGUUUGACUCGUAAGUAGUUUAGGAUCACUUAUUGAUCAUUACUAGUUUGUGACCGUUUGCAUAGCUUCUCACAUUAUUCUUAUACUCGUAAGAUAGCCACCAUACAAUGCUUAGUCGCUUGCUGCAACCUCACCACUUAUCCUUUCCUUACCCAUUAAGCUUUGCUAGUCUUGAUACCCAUGGUAAUGGGAUUGCUGAGUCCUCGUGGCUCACAUAUUACUACAACAACAGUUGCAGGUGCAGGUUAUGCGAUGAUCAUGACGUGAGAACGAUGUUUACUUGUUUUGAAGUUCUUCUUCUGCUUCUUCUUUGAUCAGGGGAUAGGUUCCGGGUCGGCAGCCUGGGUUAGGAGGGUGGAUAUUGCUUGAGUUUCUGUUUGUGUUGCAUCUGUAGUCGGAUGUUGUUCUCAUGUAUGCUGCAUUGUUGUAUUCAUGUGACAUUGUAUGCCUUUGUAUGUAUGCCGAACUAUUAUGUAAUGGUACGAUGUAAUGAUAUCCAUCUUGCAAAAGUAUCUUUAAUGUGCGCUUUUAUUUUUGAUGGGACCUUCAA